rnacentral:rRNA from 1 species
GACGAACGCUGGCGGCGUGCCUAAUACAUGCAAGUCGAACGCAGUGGGGACGGGUGAGUAACACGUGGGUAACCUCCCAUCAGAGGGGAUAACACUUGGAAACAGGUGCUAAACCGAUAUUGGUGGAUGGACCCGCGGUUAAUGAGCUCGUUGGGGAGUUAACGGUUCACCAAGGCCACGCUGCAUAGCCGACCUUAUGGGGUGAGCGGCCAUCGUGGGACUGAGACACGGCCCAGACUCCUACGGGAGGCAGCAGUAGGGAAUCUUCGGCAAUGGACGAAAGUCUGACCGAUCAACGCCGCGUGAGUGAAGAAGGUUUUCGGAUCGUAAAACUCUGUUGUUAGAGAAGCGGUAUCUAACCAGAAAGCCACGGCUAACUACGUGCCAGCAGCCGCGGUAAUAC